rnacentral:rRNA from 1 species
UACGUAGGGCGCAAGCGUUGUCCGGAAUUAUUGGGCGUAAAGAGCUCGUAGGUGGCCUGUUGCGUCCGCUGUGAAAACCCAGGGCUUAACCCUGGGCUGGCAGUGGAUACGGGCAGACUAGAGGUAGGUAGGGGAGAAUGGAAUUCCCGGUGUAGCGGUGAAAUGCGCAGAUAUCGGGAGGAACACCGGUGGCGAAGGCGGUUCUCUGGGCCUUACCUGACACUGAGGAGCGAAAGCGUGGGGAGCGAACAGG